AAAAUAAUGGUUUACAGAGCUUUGUCUGAAGAUCUCCACCUCCUGCGGCCGCCGCCUGAACCUCCCCCGCCGAGGUCUGCUCUUCACUUCCGAUCAUAUAUAUAUAUAUAUAUAUAUAUAUAUAUAUAUAUAUAUGGUUUCUUUUUUCCGUCUUUCUUUUUUCUUGAUUGAAUUUAUUUCUGUCAAUUAGUUGAUAUAUGGAUUUCAAAUUUUUUUUUUUGUUCUUCAUGUUUGAUUUGUGGUGAUGAAUUGGAUCUUAAAUGUUCUGAAAGUCUUAAUUAGUUACGAUGAUGUUUUUCAAAUUUUGUGGUGAUUUGAAAUUCUUAAACCGAUUAAUGAUAUAUAUCAUACAUGGAUUUAAUUAAGAUGUAUUAGAUCUUAAUAACAAUAUUUAUUAUUGGAUCUUGGUAUUAAGAUGUUUUCCAUCUUCAUUUCUUGAUUAGUUUGUUGCAUGCAAAAGUUCAUUGGAUUGAAUUUAUUUAUUCUAUAUAAUUUAUAUGUAUGAAUUUAAUUAAGAUGUUCGAUUUGCGGAUUUAUGGAGGAAGUUUAAUUUACGACUUCUCUUUUCUUUUCUUUUUUGGUUUUUGGCAAAUAGAUGGAGGAGAAAUAUAUCGAACAAUAUUCUUGUCAGCGGAAACGGUAAAAUCAAUUUUCUUUUACCAAAUUUCUCACAAAGUUAACUUUUUUAAUUGCAUCAGUUGUUUCACUAUAUUUUUUAACAAAAAAAUAUAGUUCAUUAUGUACAAAGUUUAUGAACUGAUCACUCUCGUGUUUUUAUUGUUGUUGACCAACCGAUGAAUUCCAGAACUGUUUCGUUAGUGGAGUCAUUCAUACUGUUGGAGCGGUGGAAAAGAUUUGAGGUUAGUUGUGGCACAUCGCAUUGUUUUUCCUCUCUAUAAUUAACCGAUUUAAUUUAUAUUUAAUUUUAUUUCCAUUGCCUCUGUGAACUUGACUUCUCAAGUAUUUCGCAUUGAGUUCAUUAUUCAAAUUUCUUUUUAUGCAUGCAGCCCAACAGAAAUUGCAGCAAAUGCGAGCACCGAAGCGAAAGCAGCUACUGGCUACAAUAUUUAACUGCAUUGCUUAAAAUUUGUGAGUCAACAUUUGUAUUUAUUAUCUAAAUCUUGAAUUUGUCGGGCUUCUUUUUUCUCUCUCUGCUUAUUUUUAGCGUUGUAUUGAUUGUCUUCACUGCCCACCGCUAGUUGUUAGUUAGUCUACCGGUAUAUACUUAUCUUUAUUGUAAUAACAAUAAUCAAAAAGUAUCGGUAGUUACCAUUUUUUUUCUUUUGUAUGUUCCUCUUAACAUUAUCUUCGUACCCGUUUUUAUGAAACUUCGAUUGUAUCAUAAACACUGGAUUUUGCAUCUUUACACAUUUUUUUAUUUUGCAUGUCAAGAUAUUAAUUUGCCUACCAAUGGAUAGUUCUAAAGCCCUUUUGGGUAUAUAAAUUAAGUUGAGUGAUUAAUGUAGUAAAAAUUGCAAAUUGAAUACAUGAUUUUUUGGAAAAAGCUAACUACACUACAGCGUGCAUGAUGUAUCUGUAUAUCUAUCUAUUUAUGUGUAUUUUCCUGUGUUUUUUUAAAUGAUAAUCGUGUAUUUGAGUUUCUUGGGAAUACAUAAAAUUCUUAUUUGACAUAGAUUUUUCUUCUUCUUUUUGUAGACCACGACAACGUGUUGCUCACUUCAACUAAGCCGA
rnacentral:lncRNA from 1 species